UUCCGGUUGAUCCUGCCGGAGGCUACCGCUAUUGGAGUUCGAUUAAGCCAUGCGAGUCGUGAGUCCUAGGGACUCGGCGUACCGCUCAGUAACACGUGGGUAACCUGCCCUAUGCUGGGGAAUAACCUCGGGAAACUGAGAAUAAUGCCCCAUAGUUCACCACACCUGGAACGGUGGGUGGAUGAAAGCUCCGGCGGCAUAGGAUGGGCCUGCGGCGUAUCAGGUUGUAGGGGGUGUAAUGUACCCUCUAGCCAUCUACGCGUACGGGUGUUGAGAGACAUCGCCCGGAGAUGGAUUCUGAGACACGAAUCCAGACCCUACGGGGUGCAGCAGGCGCGAAAACUUGGCAAUGCGAGCAAUCGUGACCAGGGAACUCCAAGUGCAUCGGGUAAGACCGAUGCUUUUCUUGACUCUUCAAAGGUCUUGGAAUAAGGGGUGGGUAAGGACGGUGCCAGCCGCCGCGGUAAUACCGGCGCCUCAAGUGGUAGUCGCUUUUAUUGGGCCUAAAACGUCCGUAGCCGGUUUGGUACAUUCGUGGGUAAAUCAAGACGCUCAACGUCUUGAAUUCUGCGAGCACGGCCAGACUUGGGACCGGGUGAGGUGUGGGGUACUCUCAGGGUAGGGGUAAAAUCCUGUCAUCCUGAGAGGACCACCUGUUGCGAAGGCGCCACACUAGAACGGAUCCGACGGUCAGGGACGAAGCCUAGGGGCACGAACCGGAUUAGAUACCCGGGUAGUCCUAGGUGUAAACGCUGUGGACUUGAUGUUGGGAGUGCUCCGAGCACCCUCAGUGUCGAAGCGAAGGUGAUAAGUCCACUGCCUGGGGAGUACGGUCGCAAGGCUGAAACUUAAAGGAAUUGGCGGGGGAGCACUGCAACCUGAGGAUUGUGCGGUUUAAUUGGAUUCAACGCCGGA
rnacentral:rRNA from 1 species